AACCCAAAAACUUUGAUUUCUCGUAAGGUGCCGAACGGGUCAUAAUAGAAACACCGUCCGAUCCCUAGUCGGCAUAGUUUAUGGUUAAGACUACGACGGUAUCUGAUCGUCUUCGAUCCCCUAACUUUCGUUCCCUGAUUAAUGAAAACAUCCUUGGCGAAUGCUUUCGCAGUAGUUAGUCUUCAGCAAAUCCAAGAAUUUCACCUCUGACAGCUGAAUACUGACGCCCCCGACUAUCCCUAUUAAUCAUUACGGCGGUCCUAGAAACCAACAAAAUAGAACCGCACGUCCUAUUCUAUUAUUCCAUGCUAAUGUAUUCGAGCAAAGGCCUGCUUUGAACACUCUAAUUUUUUCACAGUAAAAGUCCUGGUUCCCCCCACAGCCAGUGAAGGCCAUGAGAUUCCCCAGAAGGAAAGGUCCAGCCGGACCAGUACUCGCGGUGAGGCGGACCGGCCAGCCAGACCCAAGGUUCAACUACGAGCUUUUUAACUGCAACAACUUUAAUAUACGCUAUUGGAGCUGGAAUUACCGCGGCUGCUGGCACCAGACUUGCCCUCCAAUUGUUCCUCGUUAAGGGAUUUAGAUUGUACUCAUUCCAAUUACGAGACCCAAAAGAGCCCCGUAUCAGUAUUUAUUGUCACUACCUCCCCGUGUCGGGAUUGGGUAAUUUGCGCGCCUGCUGCCUU
rnacentral:rRNA from 1 species